rnacentral:rRNA from 1 species
UACGAAGGGGGCGAGCGUUGUUCGGAUUUACUGGGCGUAAAGGGCGCGCAGGCGGCUAUUUUUGUCAGGCGUGAAAGCCCCGGGCUCAACCUGGGAACUGCGCUUGAUACGGGAUGGCUAGAGAUCGGGAGAGGAGAGUGGAAUUCCCAGUGUAGAGGUGAAAUUCGUAGAUAUUGGGAAGAACACCGGUGGCGAAGGCGGCUCUCUGGGACGGUACUGACGCUGAGACGCGAAAGCGUGGGGAGCGAACAGG